rnacentral:rRNA from 1 species
GUGUCAGCCGCCGCGGUAAUACGUAGGUGGCAAGCGUUGUCCGGAUUUAUUGGGUUUAAAGGGUGCGUAGGCGGUCUGUUAAGUCAGUGGUGAAAUACUUCAGCUCAACUGGAGAGGUGCCAUUGAUACUGGCGGACUUGAGUACUGAUGAGGUAGGCGGAAUGGACGGUGUAGCGGUGAAAUGCUUAGAUAUCGUCCAGAACACCGAUAGCGAAGGCAGCUUACUAAGGAGUAACUGACGCUGAUGCACGAAAGUGUGGGGAUCAAACAGGAUUAGAAACCCUCGUAGUCC